rnacentral:miRNA from 1 species
UGAGGCAGGAGAAUUGCUUGAACCCAGGAAGCGGAGGUUGCAGUGAGCCAAGAUGGUGCCACUGCACUCCAGCCUGGGUGACAGAGCGAGACUCCA